AAAAGAUUUCUACUGAAUCACUUGUCAAGAAGCGCCCUCUCUGGGGAGAAGGGAACGUGACUGGAUUCCCUCACUGUUGUAUCUUGAAUAAACGCUGCUGCUUCAUCCUGUGGGGGCCGUGGCCCUGUCCCUGUGUGGGUGGGGCCUCUUCCAUUUCCCUGACUUAGAAACCACACUCCACUUCUAACAGGGUUUGAGAGGCUUGGUCAGCACUGGGUAGCGUUUUGACUCCAUUCUUGGCUUUCUUCUUUUUCUUUCCAGAAGGAUUUUUGUGCAGAAAUGGGUCUUUUGUUGCCGUGUUAGUCCUCCUUGGAAGGCAGCUCAGAAGGCCUGUGAAAUGUCGGGGGACAGGACCCCCAGGGAGGGAAUCCCAGGCUACGCACCUUAGGGUUCGUUCUCCAGGGAGAGCGACCUCGUCCCCCGAUCCUGACCGCCCUUCCGGCCCACGCUCUCCUGUUUGGCUUCCACAGGCCUGGACUUCUCUGGCUUCUCUGCCCACACACUCCCUGCCCCCAGUGUC
rnacentral:lncRNA from 1 species